CCUACGGGAGGCAGCAGUGAGGAAUAUUGGUCAAUGGGCGCGAGCCUGAACCAGCCAAGUAGCGUGAAGGAUGACUGCCCUACGGUUUGUAAACUUCUUUUAUAAAGGAAUAAAGUGAGGCACGUGUGCCUUUUUGUAUGUACUUUAUGAAUAAGGAUCGGCUAACUCCGUGCCAGCAGCCGCGGUAAUACGGAGGCUCCGAGCGUUAUCCGGAUUUAUUUGGUUUAAAGGGAGCGCAGAUGGGUUGUUAAGUCAGAUGUGAAAGCUUGCGGCUCAACCGUAAAAUUGCAAUUGAUACUGGCAGUCUUGAGUACCGUUGAGGUAGGUGGAAUUCGUGGUGUAGCGGUGAAAUGCUUAGAUAUCACGAAGAACACCGAUUGCGAAGGCAGCUUACUAAACUGCCACUGACAUUGAUGCUCGAAAGUGUGGGGAGCAAACAGGAUUAGAUACCCUAGUAGUC
rnacentral:rRNA from 1 species